rnacentral:rRNA from 1 species
CAAUAGCGUAUAUUAAAGUUGUUGCAGUUAAAAAGCUCGUAGUUGGAUUUCUGGUGGGAGCGAUCGGUCUGGCGCUUAGCGCGAGUACUUGCAUCGUCUCCGGCCAUCCUUGGGGAAAGUCUGUCUGGCAUUAAGUUGUCGGGCAGAGGAUCCUCAUCGUUUACUGUGAAAAAAUUAGAGUGUUCAAGGCAGGCUUAUGCCGUUGAAUAUAUUAGCAUGGAAUAAUAAGAUAGGACUUUGGUACUAUUUUGUUGGUUUGCGCACCAAAGUAAUGAUUAAUAGGGACAGUUGGGGGUAUUCGUAUUCCGUUGUCAGAGGUGAAAUUCUUGGAUUUACGGAAGACGAACUACUGCGAAAGCAUUUACCAAGGAUGUUUUCAUUAA